rnacentral:rRNA from 1 species
AGAGUUUGAUCAUGGCUCAGAUUGAACGCUGGCGGCAGGCCUAACACAUGCAAGUCGAGCGGAUGAAGGGAGCUUGCUCCUGGAUUCAGCGGCGGACGGGUGAGUAAUGCCUAGGAAUCUGCCUGGUAGUGGGGGAUAACGUCCGGAAACGGGCGCUAAUACCGCAUACGUCCUGAGGGAGAAAGUGGGGGAUCUUCGGACCUCACGCUAUCAGAUGAGCCUAGGUCGGAUUAGCUAGUUGGUGGGGUAAAGGCCUACCAAGGCGACGAUCCGUAACUGGUCUGAGAGGAUGAUCAGUCACACUGGAACUGAGACACGGUCCAGACUCCUACGGGAGGCAGCAGUGGGGAAUAUUGGACAAUGGGCGAAAGCCUGAUCCAGCCAUGCCGCGUGUGUGAAGAAGGUCUUCGGAUUGUAAAGCACUUUAAGUUGGGAGGAAGGGCAGUAAGUUAAUACCUUGCUGUUUUGACGUUACCAACAGAAUAAGCACCGGCUAACUUCGUGCCAGCAGCCGCGGUAAUACGAAGGGUGCAAGCGUUAAUCGGAAUUACUGGGCGUAAAGCGCGCGUAGGUGGUUCAGCAAGUUGGAUGUGAAAUCCCCGGGCUCAACCUGGGAACUGCAUCCAAAACUACUGAGCUAGAGUACGGUAGAGGGUGGUGGAAUUUCCUGUGUAGCGGUGAAAUGCGUAGAUAUAGGAAGGAACACCAGUGGCGAAGGCGACCACCUGGACUGAUACUGACACUGAGGUGCGAAAGCGUGGGAGCAAACAGGAUUAGAUACCCUGGUAGUCCAA